rnacentral:rRNA from 1 species
UACGUAGGGUGCGAGCGUUAAUCGGAAUUACUGGGCGUAAAGCGUGCGUAGGCGGUUUCUUAAGUCUGCUGUGAAAUCCCCGGGCUCAACCUGGGAAUGGCAGUGGAUACUGGGAGGCUAGAGUGUGUCAGAGGAUGGUGGAAUUCCCGGUGUAGCGGUGAAAUGCGUAGAGAUCGGGAGGAACAUCAGUGGCGAAGGCGGCCAUCUGGGACAACACUGACGCUGAGGCACGAAAGCGUGGGGAGCAAACAGG